CAGUAGCCGCGGUAACACAGAGGGUGCGAGCGUUAAUCGGAUUUACUGGGCGUAAAGCGUGCGUAGGCGGUCUGUCAAGUCAGAUGUGAAAUCCCCGGGCUUAACCUGGGAACUGCAUUUGAAACUGGCAGGCUAGAGUCUUGUAGAGGGGGGUAGAAUUCCAGGUGUAGCGGUGAAAUGCGUAGAGAUCUGGAGGAAUACCGGUGGCGAAGGCGGCCCCCUGGACAAAGACUGACGCUCAGGUGCGAAAGCGUGGGGAGCAAACAGGAUUAGAUACCCCUGUAGUCCCUGUCUCUUAUAA
rnacentral:rRNA from 1 species